CAGCAGCCGCGGUAAUACGAAGGGUGCAAGCGUUACUCGGAAUUACUGGGCGUAAAGUGUGCGUAGGUGGUGGUUUAAGUCCGUUGUGAAAGCCCUGGGCUCAACCUGGGAAUUGCAGUGGAUACUGGGUCACUAGAGUGUGGUAGAGGAUAGUGGAAUUCCCGGUGUAGCAGUGAAAUGCGUAGAGAUCGGGAGGAACAUCAGUGGCGAAGGCGGCCAUCUGGGACAACACUGACGCUGAGGCACGAAAGCGUGGGGAGCAAACAGGAUUAGAUACCCCUGUAGUCCCUGUCUCUUAUAC
rnacentral:rRNA from 1 species